rnacentral:rRNA from 1 species
CCCGCACAAGCGGAGGAACAUGUGGUUUAAUUCGAUGAUACGCGAGGACUUACCUGGGCUUAAAUGGGGAGUGACAGCUGUCGAAAGAUGGUUUUCUUCGGACACUCUUCAAGGUGCUGCAUGGUUGUCGUCAGCUCGUGCCGUGAGGUGUCGGGUUAAGUCCCAUAACGAGCGCAACCCUUACCGUUAGUUACCAUCAGGUUAAGCUGGGGACUCUAGCGGGACUGCCACCGUAAGGUGAGAGGAAGUGGGGAUGACGUCAAAUCAGCACGGCCCUUAUGUCCAGGGCUACACACGUGUUACAAUGGCCAGUACAAAGGGCAGCUACCGGGUGACCGGAUGCUAAUCUCUAAAGCUGGUCUCAGUUCGGAUCGAAGUCUGCAACCCGACUUCGUGAAGCUGGAUUCGCUAGUAAUCGCGCAUCAGCCAUGGCGCGGUGAAUACGUUCCCGGGCCUU